GGCGGAGCGGCGGUACCUGCAGUCGACGAACCUUCGGGUUAGUGGCGGACGGGUGAGUAACACGUGAGAAUCUGCCCUCAGGAGGGGGAUAACGGUUGGAAACGACCGCUAAUACCCCAUAUGCCUACUGGUGAAAUGAAUUUCGCCUGAGGAUGAGCUCGCGUCUGAUUAGCUAGUUGGUGAGGUAAUGGCUUACCAAGGCUUCGAUCAGUAGCUGGUCUGAGAGGAUGAUCAGCCACACUGGGACUGAGACACGGCCCAGACUCCUACGGGAGGCAGCAGUGGGGAAUUUUCCGCAAUGGGCGAAAGCCUGACGGAGCAACGCCGCGUGAGGGACGAAGGCCUCUGGGCUGUAAACCUCUUUUCUCAAGGAAGAAGAUAUGACGGUACUUGAGGAAUAAGCCACGGCUAAUUCCGUGCCAGCAGCCGCGGUAAUACGGGAGUGGCAAGCGUUAUCCGGAAUUAUUGGGCGUAAAGCGUCCGCAGGCGGCUUUUCAAGUCUGCUGUUAAAGCGUGGAGCUUAACUCCAUCAUGGCAGUGGAAACUGAAAGGCUUGAGUAUGGUAGGGGCAGAGGGAAUUCCCGGUGUAGCGGUGAAAUGCGUAGAUAUCGGGAAGAACACCAGUGGCGAAGGCGCUCUGCUGGGCCAUUACUGACGCUCAUGGACGAAAGCCAGGGGAGCGAAAGGGAUUAGAUACCCCUGUAGUCCUGGCCGUAAACGAUGAACACUAGGUGUCGGGGGAAUCGACCCCUUCGGUGUCGUAGCUAACGCGUUAAGUGUUCCGCCUGGNGAGUACGCACGCAAGUGUGAAACUCAAAGGAAUUGACGGGGGCCCGCACAAGCGGUGG
rnacentral:rRNA from 1 species